GUGCUCACUUUGACAGCACAUAUACUAAAACUGGAACAAUACAAGAGUAGCAUGUCCCCUGCACAAGGAUAACAUGCAAAUUCGUGAAGCAUUCCAUAUUAAA
rnacentral:snRNA from 1 species